AGAGUUUGAUCCUGGCUCAGAUUGAACGCUGGCGGCAGGCCUAACACAUGCAAGUCGAGCGGUAGCACAGGGAGCUUGCUCCUGGGUGACGAGCGGCGGACGGGUGAGUAAUGUCUGGGAAACUGCCUGAUGGAGGGGGAUAACUACUGGAAACGGUAGCUAAUACCGCAUAAUGUCGCAAGACCAAAGAGGGGGACCUUAGGGCCUCUUGCCAUCAGAUGUGCCCAGAUGGGAUUAGCUAGUAGGUGGGGUAACGGCUCACCAAGACCAUGAUGCAUAGCCGACCUGAGAGGGUGAUCGGCCACACUGGGACUGAGACACGGCCCAGACUCCUACGGGAGGCAGCAGUAGGGAAUCUUCGGCAAUGGACGAAAGUCUGACCGAGCAACGCCGCGUGAGUGAAGAAGGCCUUCGGGUUGUAAAGUACUUUCAGCGGGGAGGAAGGCGGUGAGGUUAAUAACCUCAUCGAUUGACGUUACCCGCAGAAGAAGCACCGGCUAACUCCGUGCCAGCCGCCGCGGUAAUUC
rnacentral:rRNA from 1 species